rnacentral:lncRNA from 1 species
GUUUCUGCAUGGUGAUGCCCGAGAGGAGCCCUCAGCAUCACUGCGGGGAGCUGGGGAUGCUGCAUUGGGGAGCGGGGUCACACUGCCCUCAAUGCUCUGCCCUGGGCCAGGGGGCACCGGGAAGAGGAUGAGUCACAGGCUGAGAAACCUCCUGGCCCUGUACCUCUUGUCGCAGCUCUCUGUCCCCAUCCCCGCGCACCCACACCGUGCCACGGCCAGCACUUCGGGGACAGCCUGUGCCUGGGUCACCAGCCUGGGGCAGCGAGGGGAAAACAUGCUGAGAAACGAGCCCAGAGCCAGCCAGGCUCCCGUGCUUCCCUCCUGCCAGCCUGGAAGAGGUGGGAACAGCAGCGAGGAGGGACGCAGACCUGCAGCAGCUUGGGUGCUGCAUGCACUUGGGUGCUGCACGGUUGUUUCUUGGACUGCAGCAGCAGAGCUGCUGAAGCAGUGCCGCUGGGAGGGCAGAUUUUUGACCUGUUGGAUGUGGCAGAGCAUUUCUGAGCCAUCCCCAGGCUUCCUCCGCCAGGCAGGGAGGAGUUAA